rnacentral:rRNA from 1 species
UACGGAGGGUGCGAGCGUUGUCCGGAAUCACUGGGCGUAAAGCGCACGUAGGCGGCUUUGCAAGUUAGAGGUGAAAGCCCGGGGCUCAACUCCGGAACUGCCUCUAAAACUGCAUCGCUAGAAUUGUGGAGAGGUAAGUGGAAUUCCGAGUGUAGAGGUGAAAUUCGUAGAUAUUCGGAAGAACACCAGUGGCGAAGGCGACUUACUGGACACAUAUUGACGCUGAGGUGCGAAAGCGUGGGGAGCAAACAGG